GAUGAACGCUGGCGGCGUGCCUAAUACAUGCAAGUCGAGCGAACAGACGAGGAGCUUGCUCCUCCGACGUUAGCGGCGGACGGGUGAGUAACACGUGGAUAACCUACCUAUAAGACUGGGAUAACUUUGGGAAACCGGAGCUAAUACCGGAUAAUAUAUUGAACUGCAUUGUUCAAGAGUGAAAUACGGUUUUGCUUUCACUAAUAGAUUGAUCCGCGCCGCAUUAGCUAGUUGGUAAGGUAACGGCUUACCAAGGCAACGAUGCGUACCCGCCCUGAGAGGGUGAUUGGCCACACUGGAACUGAGACACGGUCCAGACUCCUACGGGAGGAAGCAGUAGGGAAUCUUACGCGAUGGGCGAAAGCCUGACGGAGCAACGCCGCGUGAGUGAUGAAGGUCUACGGAUCGUAAAACUCUGUUAUUAGGGGAGAACAAAUGUGUAAGUAACUAUGCACGUCUUGACGGUACCUAAUCAGAAAGCCACGGCUAACUACGUG
rnacentral:rRNA from 1 species